AGUGAACGCUGGCGGUAGGCCUAACACAUGCAAGUCGAACGGCAGCACAGUAAGAGCUUGCUCUUACGGGUGGCGAGUGGCGGACGGGUGAAGAAUACAUCGGAAUCUACUUUUUCGUGGGGGAUAACGUAGGGAAACUUACGCUAAUACCGCAUACGACCUACGGGUGAAAGCAGGGGAUCUUCGGACCUUGCGCGAUUGAAUGAGCCGAUGUCGGAUUAGCUAGUUGGCGGGGUAAAGGCCCACCAAGGCGGCGAUCCGUAGCUGGUCUGAGAGGAUGAUCAGCCACACUGGAACUGAGACACGGUCCAGACUCCUACGGGAGGCAGCAGUGGGGAAUAUUGGACAAUGGGCGCAAGCCUGAUCCAGCCAUACCGCGUGGGUGAAGAAGGCCUUCGGGUUGUAAAGCCCUUUUGUUGGGAAAGAAAAGCAGCAGGUUAAUACCCCGCUGUUCUGACGGUACCCAAAGAAUAAGCACCGGCUAACUUCGUG
rnacentral:rRNA from 1 species